UACGUAGGGGGCAAGCGUUGUCCGGAUUUAUUGGGCGUAAAGAGCGUGUAGGCGGCCAUGUAGGUCCGUUGUGAAAACUCGAGGCUCAACCUCGAGACGCCGAUGGAAACCAUGUGGCUAGAGUCCGGAAGAGGAGAGUGGAAUUCCUGGUGUAGCGGGUGGAAUGCGCAGAUAUCAGGAGGAACACCGGUGGCGAAGGCGGGGUCUCUGGGCAGUGAACUGACGCUGAGGAGCGAAAGCGUGGGGAGCGAACAGG
rnacentral:rRNA from 1 species